CCCCCAUCGUGCUGUCCAAUUGUGGCAAUGUGAGGUUUGUGCUGAAGCUCCUCCCUCAAGCACACACAAUGGUUGCUGGGCAAGUGAAGCAUUCAGUGGAAGAGGAAGGGGGGAGGGGAUUGCUGGCAGAGGCAAUGAAAGUGCAGCUUCCAGAUCAUCUGCAGGGUGAUUCUUGGCUUCCAAGAUUAACCACAGACUCAGCUGCUGAGCUGUGAUGUCAAGAGAGCGAUCAGACCAUUCCCAGCCUUGGAAUGGUUCCCAUUCCUUCCGUCCUUGUCUGAGCAUAGCACAGGAAGAAGAGGAGAUGGAGGUGAGCUACCCAUUGCCUGCCUGCCUUCCAUAGAAAAGUGAGAAAUAGCUGGGAAGGGGCUGGGAAGGAAGCAGUGGCAAGAUUGAGCAACUUGCAAUUUUUCACCAUGGACUUCUCUGCUGCAUGUCUGCACAUCUGUGACUGCCACACCACCAGCUUUGACAGAAACAGGAAAAAAUUAGGGUAUCCAGGAACCAAACCCACAAUUCAGGAACCAAAUCCCCACUUACAACGUUGUUUUCUGUAGAAGAAUAGGUUCAAAGUUAAGAUGUUUUGACUAAAGACAUUGUUUUCAGGAACCAAUUCUGUAUUAAGUCUGAGGAGUGCCUGUAUACCGCUUAUAUGGUUGGAACACUUUCUGUUUGUUUCCAGUUCUAAAACAAAACACACAAAAACAGCA